UACGUAGGGUGCAAGCGUUAAUCGGAAUUACUGGGCGUAAAGCGUGCGCAGGCGGUUUUGUAAGUUCUGUCGUGAAAUCCCCGGGCUCAACCUGGGAAUGCGAUGGAGACUGCAAGGCUAGAAUCUGGCAGAGGGGGGUAGAAUUCCACGUGUAGCAGUGAAAUGCGUAGAGAUGUGGAGGAACACCGAUGGCGAAGGCAGCCCCCUGGGUCAAGAUUGACGCUCAUGCACGAAAGCGUGGGGAGCAAACAGG
rnacentral:rRNA from 1 species